CCUUGCGGCCGGGGGGGGAGCCAUUUCCGGGGAGCGCGGAAAGUCGAAGAUUCUCUGCGCGGAGGAGUCCGGAUCUUCGUCAUCUUGCUGCUGCGAGGAGCUCUCAUGCCUUGCUCGUCAACUUCCGGGUAUUUGUGUGAUCUCCUCCCUCCACGAAACUGUUUUUGCUGCAAUGCGUAUGUGGAAUUACGAAUUUGGGAUCCUGAUCUACCGUCUUGUCCCGUUUAGAUCAACGUCAGACAUGAGAUUCAAAGCUGAAUCUGAUUCCUCGUUCCGUCGUUUUCUAUUUGCCUAUAGUGGGAGGUUCAGUCUUGGUCGGGAAUCUAGGGAUCUUGUCCGACGGGAGUCUUGGGAGCGUACCUCAGCGCAUCUGUGUUUGCUUUACUCUCCGGCAUCCGCCGUCCGACCACGUCGUACCAUUCGCCCGAAUACUUUUUUCCUGUAGUUGCCUGUGACUUGCCUCGUCGUCGCGGGCACUUUCCAUCUACUUUAACUUGGAUGCGGAUGCGUGGCUGUGUCAAUUUAAUUCUUCUCGGCAUAGAAUAUUGGAGGAUCUCCUUUCCUGUGCAACCAAGCAUCUGACUCCAUUUGUUGGCUCUGAAAAGCGCACUCUUAAUUUUUUUUUCCAAAAGGUGCUUAAAAUUUGAACCUUGAUCUUCAACAUAUUUUACGAUACAUUUCUCUACGGGAAGUGAGAACUCGGAACACUGGUUUUUCGGAAACUUUCCACAGGGUCCUCAUCCUAAUUUUUCUGGACUUUGUGCAUUUAUCUGUAAAGUUGGAACAGAAGCCUGGGAGGAUUGGUGUAAAAGUCCUUUAUUCAAGUUGAGAUUAAUUAUUUUUUUUCGUGACUUAUUAUUCUGACGGUUCAAUUAAUACAGCAAGAUUGUUUAAGAAAUGGAUGCACUCUAAGCUAAAAUAAUCAAAUGACCAAG
rnacentral:lncRNA from 1 species